AGCCUAAUCAUCUGGUAAAUGCUGUUUCCGUCACUUCUGUGGGACCGGACUGUUGAGGAGCUCGGUGUGCCUCACACAACAUGUGCUGCACCCGCGAAAAAUCUCCAACUUGAGAUUUUGAUGGAGGCUGAAACUGUGUGCUGGCUGCUGUGGUUGCCUGUGUGCGGGCUGCUGGGGCUGGCUGCGUGCCCGCCGCCACGGGACCGGAGCAGGGCCGGUACCUCGGGCACCCUCUGCACCCUGACCACGCCCUGUCCCUGCCCGUGCCCUCACGGGAGCGUGGAUGCCCCCGCCCCGACCGCGCCUCCCCUGCGCUCGUCUCGGCGCAGGCGCGGUCUCGGGAACGCCCCCUCUGCCUGUGACCGACACCCGCGCUGCCGCGAUCCCGAUCUGGCUCCGUGCCAACGCCCGCGACCGGCGCGCGCGGUCCCCGCUCGGCCGGUGUCCGUGCCGCCUCUGCGAACUGGGGAAAAAACCCUGCCCGCUCCGACUUCCGGGUUUUUGCGUCAUUAUCGGGCGCCUGCCGCGCUCCGUAGCGGUUGCAGGGACGCUGCAGUCGUCCCGUCUGCUUUAAUCCCGCCCGGCGCAGCUGCCGCGACCCGUGCGCGUUCCCCGGGUGGCCGCUGCUCGCGCGCCAUCGCAGUCGGGCGGCUUGUCCCCUUCGCGUGCGUCUUUGACACCCCCUGCGUGAAACUGCCGCCGCCAACGCGCAUGCGCCCGCCUCCGCCGUGCCUCCCGCUCCCGCGGUCCCGCGCUCCGCUCCGCCCGGCCGGGCCCCGCUCGGGGCUGCCCUCGCCGCCGCCGGCCACGCCCUGGACGGCUGCUGACCGCCCGCUGUUGCGAUUGCGUGCACCGCCGUGCGCGUUGUCGCCUCCAGUGCUGCUGUGCCUGCGACUCCCCCGCUGCCGCCGUGGCCUCCCCGCCCUCCGCAGCCCCUGCGGCCGCCUCUGCGGCUCCCCCGGGCUGCUGGCCGGCCGGCGCCGCCGUGGCACGGGUUCGCCAGUCGCCGAGAAGCAGCUCUCCCCCGGGUUCCCCGACCCCCUCUGCCCUCCUCCCUCUGAAAGUUCUGGGAUUUCUGGGCUUUCUGGGGACCCAUGGGACCCUGGGGACUCUGGAGAUGAUGCCAGUUCCUCCCACACCUGUUUGCCAGGCGUUACUUUUGCCCCUCCCUGGUCGGUAAGGGCAACUACCACCUGCUGAUGGCAGGAUGGCUUCCCUUCCCCCAUCCUUGAGAGAAUACUUGCUGCCUGCUGAUAGCUGGCAGACCCCGCGGAAUUCCACGAAAUUGCCUCCAACAUUACCCUUGCUGGGGAUAAAAGCUUCAAGGCCGUUUUAUCUUUUUUUCAGAGAUUUUUACAGGGUGUGUGGCUGUCAUGCCCUGUAGGGCUGGCAAGAUGCUGGGUUGUUCCUGGGAGCAUGUACCCCCC
rnacentral:lncRNA from 1 species